rnacentral:rRNA from 1 species
AUACGGAGGGUGCAAGCGUUACUCGGAAUCACUGGGCGUAAAGCGCGCGCAGGCGGCUAUUUAAGUUGGAUGUGAAAGCCUACGGCUCAACCGUAGAACUGCAUCCAAAACUAUUUAGCUAGAGUGUGGGAGAGGAAGAUGGAAUUAGUUGCGUAGGGGUAAAAUCCGUAGAGAUAACUAGGAAUACCAAAAGCGAAGGCAAUCUUCUGGAACACUACUGACGCUGAGGCGCGAAAGCGUGGGGAGCAAACGGGAUUAGAAACCCCAGUAGUCC